UGGGGAAUCUUGCACAAUGGGCGCAAGCCUGAUGCAGCCAUGCCGCGUGAGUGAUGAAGGCCCUAGGGUUGUAAAGCUCUUUCAGUGGGGAAGAUAAUGACGGUACCCACAGAAGAAGCCCCGGCUAACUCCGUGCCAGCAGCCGCGGUAAUACGGAGGGGGUUAGCGUUGUUCGGAAUUACUGGGCGUAAAGCGCGCGUAGGCGGAUUAGAAAGUUAGAGGUGAAAUCCCGGGGCUCAACCCCGGAACUGCCUUUAAAACUCCUAGUCUUGAGUUCGAGAGAGGUGAGUGGAAUUCCGAGUGUAGAGGUGAAAUUCGUAGAUAUUCGGAGGAACACCAGUGGCGAAGGCGGCUCACUGGCUCGAUACUGACGCUGAGGUGCGAAAGUGUGGGGAGCAAACAGGAUUAGAUACCCGCGUAGUCC
rnacentral:rRNA from 1 species